rnacentral:rRNA from 1 species
GACGAACGCUGGCGGCGUGCUUAACACAUGCAAGUCGAGCGGUAAGGCCCUUUCGGGGGUACACGAGCGGCGAACGGGUGAGUAACACGUGGGUGACCUGCCCUUAGCUCUGGGAUAAGCCUGGGAAACUGGGUCUAAUACCGGAUAUGACUCCAUAACGCAUGUUGUGGGGUGGAAAGCCUUGUGCGGCUAGGGGAUGGGGCCCCGCGGCCUAUCAGCUUGUUGGGUGGGGGUNAUGGGCCCACCAAGGCGACGACGGGUAGCCGGCCUGAGAGGGCGACCGGCCACACUGGGACUGAGACACGGCCCAGACUCCUACGGGAGGGCAGCAGU